GAGGGUAUAACUCAGUAGGUAGAGUACAUGCCUAACAUGCAUGAGGUGCUGGGUUCAAUUCCCAAUGCCUCCA
rnacentral:tRNA from 1 species